AGAGCCUGGUGUCAAUUAUUUGCAGUUUGUACAACGAAAGGCUAAAAAUUUGGGAGAUGCAGGAUGACUGAAGCCCGAUUCUGGGGGUUGUUACAGCACAGUUACAGGGCCUUCCUCACACCCAUGUCUUCAGAUACCCAAGGCCUUUAAUACCCAAGUCCUUCCAGGAUUCUGCACAUCUCAUUAGCUUCAUAUUCCCCUUUUCCUCUGAGCGUCUUACUAGAAGGUCUGGAAUACGCAUGGAUGAGAUGCCGUCUUUCCUGACCAUACUUAAUAAUAAAGAUGCUGGGACUCAAGAGGAACUAAGCAGUGUAUAUUUUUCAUGUAUCCGCUUGAUGCAAUGAAUCUUUUGGCUUCAGAGCUACAUGUUGAAGAUGAAGGAGCCAUAGUGUGGAAAAGCCAAAGUUCCUGAAUCACUGACCAGGGGAGAGUUGCCCAUUAGCCAAGAAGACCGGCUUUAGACUUUCUGAGAAAAGGGUUUGCUGUCAAAAGGAAAAGCUCUGAGUCAUUCUUUAGAAAAGGUGAAGAGAGGAUAUGCAACCACAAGCCAAAGGUCUGAAUAGCCCUUGUGAAGGCAGCAUUUGAGAGAACUUCUCUGCCACAUGCUGAUUCCUCUCACCGCGGGAAGAAACCAACCUACCCUGGGGAGCCUGAGAGCUCUUUGAGUAUCUGGGGGUGAAUCAACUAAUCUGAUUAAUUGUUUUCAGAGUUAAAAAGGCUUAGUCCUGGAAAAGUCGAAGAGGUGAAAACCUGCCUGGGGAGGCUGCUGAAGGACGCCAGGAAGAAUUCUUAUCUCCAAAUUCAAUCCUGCCUCCCAGCUAGCUGCUGGUGUUUGAAAUUCCAACUCUGAAGUGGUAGUCUGGUAUCUUCUUUUAAAAUGUGGAAGAGAGUAAACAAAGUUAUUCACA
rnacentral:lncRNA from 10 species